GAAACAUGUAAACGAUGUUAGGACACAAUAAAUUCUUACUCUUUAGUUACCACAUUGCAUUUAUUACCAAUGCAAGUAACAGAUUUUAAGUCAAAAAUCAUGUAUAGGGACAAGACAUCAUCAACCAAAAAUGUCAUUUAAACUAGAUACACUGAUAUAAAAUCAAUAUUACAAGACUGUUGAGAUGAUUGUGUGAUUAAGUCAUUUUUGAUGCAAUCAGAAUCUCGACAUUGUAUUAAAUGCUUCAUUGAUUUUGCAGAUUUCUUCUCUGAUUGCCUCAUUUAUAGCAUCUGCCCAGUACCCAACCAUUUAACCUUCUCCCUCGUUGCUUCCCGCAGCAUCUUGAGCAACAAAAUACAUUAACAAGAAUGAAAUAAAUGAAAAAACAAAUGAAAUGAGUGAAUCUACCCAUUAUAUUUUAACAGUGGCCUCGCAGAAAACUUUUCCUAUCAUUUCUUUCUUGUACUCCACAAUUAUCUUUCAUUUAAUUUUCUUUAGAAUAAAACAGAUAUUUUCUCCAGAUGAUGGCAAACAAAGGUAACAGGGAGUGAUUUUAAAGUGUUUAUUAAAAAUUGAUUGUUUCUUUUGUCGUAACGUUAAAGGCUGCAGACACUAUGUCUUGGCCAUGAGUUAGACAGAAGGACAGCCGACUUCUUUAGUGGUAUAGCUUGGAGCAUAUUUAUCAAACAUUUGCACUACAAUACGAAAAAAACAGUCUUUCCUCACAAAUGUUCUAUCGCCUCUUUUGUCCCUUGUCUCCAUAGAACACUUUCCUCUAUGCUAACUAGCUGGGAUAACAGUCAGUUUUCCAGGCAUUGGCUGGUUCUUUUGCCGGUGUGCUGCCAAACCGCAGUAAGCUGGUGUUAUCUGUGUGAGAGGCUAAACACGGCACUUACUAUCCACUCAGGUUGCCAGUCAGACUGCCUGUCUUUCUUAGAACUGGCCAGACCUGAUUUCCAGCUAACUGUCUAGCUAGCUUAUGUUCCAACCAGCCGCCUGGAUUGCAGGGCAGGACUGGUGUCUUGGAAGUGGCCGGACGUUAUUUUUAUGUUGGCUCCUCGGAGGCUAGAGAAUAUUGAUCCGUUCCAAUUUUCGGGUUUAAGAAAUGUUUUAAUAGGCAAAGUGAUGCUGAGAUGUAGGUCAUGAGGGUGAGUCAGGGGACUAAGAUAGGAGGGUGAGUGAGGGUACUAAGAGAGGAGGGUGAGUCAGGGUACUAAGAUAGGAGGGUGAGUCAGGGUACUAAGAUUAGAGGGCAAGUCAGGAUACUAAGAUUAGAGGACGAGUCAGGGUACUAAAAUAGGAGGGUGAGCCAGGAUACUAAGAGAGGAAGGGUGAGUCAGGGUACUAAGACUAGAGGGUGAGUCAGGGUACUAAGAUAGGAGGGUGAGUCAGGGGACUAAAAUAGGAGGGUGAGUCAGGGUACUAAAAUAGGAGGGUGAGUCAGGGUACUAAAAUUAGAGGGUGAGUCAGAGGACUAAGAUAGGAGGGUGAGUCAGGAUACUAAGAUAGGAGGGUGAGUCAGGGUACUAAGAUAAGAGGGUGAGUCAGGGUACUAAAAUAGGAGGGUGAGUCAGGAUACUAAGAGAGGAAGGGUGAGUCAGGGUACUAAGAUUAGAGGGCGAGUCAGGGUACUAAGAGAGGAGGGUGAGCCAGGGGACUAAGAUAGGAGGGUGAGUCAGGGUACUAAAAUAGGAGGGUGAGUCAGGAUACUAAGAUAGGAGGGUGAGUCAGGAUACUAAGAUAGGAGGGUGAGUCAGAGGACUAAGAUAGGAGGGUGAGUCAGGGUUAUAAGAUAAGAGGGUGAGUCAGGGGACUAAGAUAGGAGGGUGAGUCAGGGUUCUAAGAUAAGAGGGUGAGUAAGGGGACUAAGAUUAGAGGGUGAGUCAGGGGACUAAGAUAGGAAGGUGAGUCAGGAUACUAAGAUAGGAGGGUGAGUCAGGGUUCUAAGAUGGGAGGGUGAGUCAGGGGACUAAGAUGGGAGGGUGAGUCAGGGGACUAAGAUAAGAGGGUGAGUCAGGAUAUUAAGAUAGGAGGGUGAGUCAGGGUUAUAAGAUAAGAGGGUGAGUCAGGGGACUAAGAUAGGAGGGUGAGUCAGGGUUCUAAGAUGGGAGGGUGAGUCAGGGUUCUAAGAUAAGAGGGUGAGUCAGGGUUCUAAGAUGGGAGAUGGUUUAGAUCAAUGAUUCUCAGAGAUCUUACUUUGCAUACCACCUCACUGAAUAAAUAUCAACUAAAGGGAGCACCGCGUACCACCAGGGGUACACGUACCAUAGUUUGAGAACCAGUGGUUUAGAUGACAAGUAUGGACAUUAGGUGACAUUAGGUGACAUUAGGUGACAUUAGGUGACAUUAGGGGAGGUGCUUGGGGGAGGACAGGAAGCCUGUCUAGGAGCCCUGAUGGUCAAUGACAUUUUCUGUACGGUACUUUCGCCCUGCAUCGCAAAUCCACUGGCGCUUAUCGUAAUGACGGACUGCCAGCCGGCCAGACCAGCGCCUGUCUGUCAAUCACAGGUCUCCAUGGUGAUCCAGGGACAUUCCUCCAUGACACUCAUCAUACUGGAUACUCUGGAGAGAGAGAGAAACAGAUGAGAUGGACUCAGCGAGACAGACAUCUAAAGGUCAGCAGUCAGUCAGUACAGAAGUCACAGCUAUA
ensembl:lncRNA